rnacentral:rRNA from 1 species
GAUGAACGCUGGCGGCGUGCCUAAUACAUGCAAGUCGAGCGAACAGACGAGGAGCUUGCUCCUUUGACGUUAGCGGCGGACGGGUGAGUAACACGUGGGUAACCUACCUAUAAGACUGGGAUAACUUCGGGAAACCGGAGCUAAUACCGGAUAAUAUUUCGAACCGCAUGGUUCGAUAGUGAAAGAUGGCUCUGCUAUCACUUAUAGAUGGACCUGCGCCGUAUUAGCUAGUUGGUAAGGUAACGGCUUACCAAGGCAACGAUACGUAGCCGACCUGAGAGGGUGAUCGGCAACACUGGAACUGAGACACGGUCCAGACUCCUACGGGAGGCAGCAGUAGGGAAUCUUCCGCAAUGGGCGAAAGCCUGACGGAGCAACGCCGCGUGAGUGAUGAAGGUCUUCGGAUCGUAAAACUCUGUUAUUAGGGAAGAACAAACGUGUAAGUAACUGUGCACGUCUUGACGGUACCUAAUCAGAAAGCCACGGCUAACUACGUG